UCAGAGGGGGGUAGAAUUNCACGUGUAGCAGUGAAAUGCGUAGAGAUGUGGAGGAAUACCGAUGGCGAAGGCAGCCCCCUGGGAUAAUACUGACGUUCAUGCUCGAAAGCGUGGGUAGCAAACAGGAUUAGAUACCCUGGUAGUCCACGCCCUAAACGAUGUCGAUUAGCUGUUGGGCAACUUGAUUGCUUAGUAGCGUAGCUAACGCGUGAAAUCGACCGCCUGGGGAGUACGGUCGCAAGAUUAAAACUCAAAGGAAUUGACGGGGACCCGCACAAGCGGUGGAUGAUGUGGAUUAAUUCGAUGCAACGCGAAGAACCUUACCUGGUCUUGACAUGUACGGAAGAACUCAGAGACGAGUUUGUGCCUUCGGGAGCCGUAACACAGGUGCUGCAUGGCUGUCGUCAGCUCGUGUCGUGAGAUGUUGGGUUAAGUCCCGCAACGAGCGCAACCCUUGUCAUUAGUUGCCAUCAUUUAGUUGGGCACUCUAAUGAGACUGCCGGUGACAAACCGGAGGAAGGUGGGGAUGACGUCAAGUCCUCAUGGCCCUUAUGACCAGGGCUUCACACGUCAUACAAUGGUCGGUACAGAGGGUAGCCAAGCCGCGAGGUGGAGCCAAUCCCAGAAAACCGAUCGUAGUCCGGAUUGCACUCUGCAACUCGAGUGCAUGAAGUCGGAAUCGCUAGUAAUCGCAGGUCAGCAUACUGCGGUGAAUACGUUCCCGGGUCUUGUACACACCGCCCGUCACACCAUGGGAGUGGGGGAUACCAGAAGUAGGUAGG
rnacentral:rRNA from 1 species